ensembl:lncRNA
UCAAGACGCACAUCCAGCCAUAAGAAAGCCAUAACGUCAUACAAGGACUGAAAGGUGACGUUUGCAACGGUAAACUCUUUUUGUGUGAAGGAACAUUCUUCUUUUUGAUCAUUUUUGUGUUUGUGACGAAGCGGACUCAUUCCCUGUUUGCGUAAAUGCGGCCAGCGAGACCAGAGAACUACAGACUCUUCACAACCUCCUCAAACUCUUGGUACAGGACCUCACCACACGGGUCAAGAAGGUUUCUGUCUCAUUUCUACUCUGAAGCUCACCUUCUCCUGCUCAAACUGCUGACAAAUGUUUCUGCUGCUCUAAAGUCUGGUCUCCAGAACUUCCUAAAAAC